UUAGGAGUGGCUGCUGCUAAAUCUAUUUCAUGGAACUAAUAUGUUACAGAAACAAAAUUAGCUCCGGAUUCAAGAUAUGAUGCCUACCGAUAUUUAAAGGGACUUGGCAUCAAGGUGUCUCCUUACAGCAGAAGGGUAAAGAAUCAUGAAGACACAAGUACGAGUCUUGCUGGGAUUCCUGUGGAUACAGAUUUGCUGGGUAGGAGUACAGAUGAAGGUAGCACAGAGUCCUGAGGUACUGAACCUCCAGCAGGGGGGGAAUUCCUCUCUGAAGUGUAAUUUUUCCAUCUCCAUAACCAGCAUGCAGUGGUUCCAACAAAAUCCCGGAGGACGUCUCAUAUCCCUGUUUUACAUGGCUUCUGGAAUGCGACAGAAAGGAAGACUAAAGUCCACAGUUAAUAUCAAGGAACGUUACAGCCACCUGUAUAUCACAGACUCCCAGCCUGAGGACUCAGCCACUUACAUCUGUGCCGCGGGGGCACAGUGCUCUCCAGACACCUGCAGUCUGUACAUGAAACCAUAGGCGAAGUCCCAGCCCAAACCCCAGGGUGGCAGCAGAGGUCCGGGGUGAUUGGGAUUGCCUUCCCAAAGCCUUGCAUCUCCUGAUUCAUGCAGGAAGCUUUUCUAAACGAGCUACGACUUGACACUACAGUGCAGGACAUACCUGGUCCAUCCGGAGAUCUCUGGGGAGACUGUUACUAGGUAAAAUCUAUAGAGUAAUCAACUCAUAUCUGAUUCUGUCUUUCUAGACAAGAGUGAGCAGCCAACUCAACCAGAACAAGACAGAACCAAUCUCACCUUGACUUUCUUUUCUACAUCUUUAUCGCUUACAUUGGUAUUGACAGAGCCCUGGGAAAAGCUCAUGAUCCUUUUUCUAAUGUACUUUUAUGGAGAAGAAAAGGAGGAGCGAAAAUAAAGGGCCACUAUUAGCAUGAAAGAUGGGUCGAGCUCCCUGCAUACCACACCAGAGACUCAGCCACCUACCUGCAUGCUGUGGAGGCACAGUGCUUCCCAGGCACCUGAAGCCUGAACGCACAUAUGUGGCUGCAGUCCCCAAACCCAACACAAGGGAACGAUGCCUGUAUGUUUUCACUCACUUCUAACAUGGUGUUGAGAAGUGCACACUUGAUAAAUCAAAGUGAUUUCACUUUCAAAACAAUUUGGAACACUGAUGAAUAUUCAAUCUAGUAACUAUCUCUGUCCUAAAUAAAACCGUUUCUAACAUCCUAAUCCCAAAGUCAGAGAACUCAUGAAUCAGCAAUUCCAGUUAGAGGAUCCGUCAGAGUCAUAACUGUGGAGCUCUGUGU